rnacentral:rRNA from 1 species
AGCUAAGGUGAGGCCGAAAGGCGUAGCCGAUGCACAGACGGUAGAGAUUCCGUCCCCACCGAAAGAUUUAAGCACAGGGACACUUUUUGAAGGUCGGAGCCAGGUGUUGGUUCUGGUAGUGAUCGAGGGAAAUAUAGUACCGAAGUCCGGCUGGAAGAGAGGCGAGAAAAGCUGUGUGUAUAUCUAAGGUGCCCGUACCGCAAACCGACACAGGUAGGUAGGAAGAAGAUUCUAAGGCCAACGGGAGAAGGGUUGUUAAGGAACUCGGCAAAUUGACCCCGUAACUUCGGGAGAAGGGGUGCUCCAGAGAUGGAGCCGCAGAGAAUCGGCCCAAGCAACUGUUUACCAAAAACACAGGUUUGUGCUAAAUCGAAAGAUGACGUAUACGAGCUGACGCCUGCCCGGUGCUGGAAGGUUAAAAGGAGAUGUGCAAGCAUUGAAUUGAAGCCCCAGUGAACGGCGGCCGUAACUAUAACGGUCCUAAGGUAGCGAAAUUCCUUGUCAGGUAAGUUCUGACCCGCAUGAAAGGCGUAAUGAUUUGGGCACUGUCUCAACAGCCCGCCCGGCGAAAUUGUAGUACCGGUGAAGAUGCCGGUUACCCGCGACAAGACGGAAAGACCCCAUGGAGCUUUACUGUAGCCUGAUAUUGGGUUUCGGUGUUGCAUGCACAGGAUAGAUGGGACGCUAGGAAACUGGUGCUUUGGCGCUGGCGGAGCGGACGUUGGGAUACCAUCCUUGCGACAUUGGAAUUCUAACCUGCGCCUCUGAAUCGAGGCGGGGGACAUUGUCAGGUGGGCAGUUUGACUGGGGCGGUCGCCUCCUAAAAAGUAGCGGAGGCGUUCAAAGGUUCGUUCGAUCUGGACGGAAACCAGAUGAUUGAGUGCAAACGCAUAAACGAGCCUGACUGCGAGACUGACGGGUCGAGCAGAGACGAAAGUCGGAGUUAGUGAUCCGGUGGUAUGUGAGUGGAAAUGCCAUCGCUCAACGGAUAAAAGUUACCCUGGGGAUAACAGGCUGAUCUCCCCCAAGAGUCCACAUCGACGGGGAGGUUUGGCACCUCGAUGUCGGCUCAUCGCAUCCUGGGGCUGAAUUCGGUCCCAAGGGUUUGGCUGUUCGCCAAUUAAAGCGGUACGCGAGCUGGGUUCAGAACGUCGUGAGACAGUUCGGUCCCUAUCUGUCGUGGGCGCAGGAUAUUUGAAAGGCGCUGUCCCUAGUACGAGAGGACCGGGAUGGACGAACCUCUGGUGCACCAGUUGUCACGCCAGUGGCACAGCUGGGCAGCUAUGUUCGGAUCGGAUAAACGCUGAAAGCAUCUAAGCGUGAAGCCGGCCUUAAGAUAAGAUAUCCCACUGAGUCAAUCAGGUAAGACCCCUUGAAGACUACAAGGUUGAUAGGCACACAGUGUAAGCGGAGUGAUCCGUUCAGCUAGCGUGUACUAAUAGGUCGAGGGCUUGACCC